rnacentral:rRNA from 1 species
AUUGAACGCUGGCGGCAGGCUUAACACAUGCAAGUCGAACGAGUGGCGGACGGGUGAGUAAUGCUUGGGAAUCUAGCUUAUGGAGGGGGAUAACUACUGGAAACUGUAGCUAAUACCGCGUACCAUAGGAUGAGCCCAAGUGGGAUUAGCGAGUUGGUGAGGUAAAGGCUAACCUAGCCGACGAUCUCUAGCUGGUCUGAGAGGAUGAUCAGCCACACUGGGACUGAGACACGGCCCAGACUCCUACGGGAGGCAGCAGUGGGGAAUAUUGCACAAUGGGCGCAACCUUACUCAGCCAUGCCGCGUGAAUGAAGAAGGCCUUAGGGUUGUAAAGUUCUUUCAGUAGGGAGGCGUUAACUACAGAAGAAGCACCGGCUAACUCCGUGCCAGCAGCCGCGGUAAUUC